rnacentral:rRNA from 1 species
AGGACGAACGCUGGCGGCGUGCCUAAUACAUGCAAGUUGAGCGCUGAAGGUUGGUACUUGUACCAACUGGAUGAGCAGCGAACGGGUGAGUAACGCGUGGGGAAUCUGCCUUUGAGCGGGGGACAACAUUUGGAAACGAAUGCUAAUACCGCAUAAAAACUUUAAACACAAGUUUUAAGUUUGAAAGAUGCAAUUGCAUCACUCAAAGAUGAUCCCGCGUUGUAUUAGCUAGUUGGUGAGGUAAAGGCUCACCAAGGCGAUGAUACAUAGCCGACCUGAGAGGGUGAUCGGCCACAUUGGGACUGAGACACGGCCCAAACUCCUACGGGAGGCAGCAGUAGGGAAUCUUCGGCAAUGGACGAAAGUCUGACCGAGCAACGCCGCGUGAGUGAAGAAGGUUUUCGGAUCGUAAAACUCUGUUGGUAGAGAAGAACGUUGGUGAGAGUGGAAAGCUCAUCAAGUGACGGUAACUACCCAGAAAGGGACGGCUAACUACGUGCCAGCAGCCGCGGUAAUACGUAGGUCCCGAGCGUUGUCCGGAUUUAUUGGGCGUAAAGCGAGCGCAGGUGGUUUAUUAAGUCUGGUGUAAAAGGCAGUGGCUCAACCAUUGUAUGCAUUGGAAACUGGUAGACUUGAGUGCAGGAGAGGAGAGUGGAAUUCCAUGUGUAGCGGUGAAAUGCGUAGAUAUAUGGAGGAACACCGGUGGCGAAAGCGGCUCUCUGGCCUGUAACUGACACUGAGGCUCGAAAGCGUGGGGAGCAAACAGGAUUAGAUACCCUGGUAGUCC